rnacentral:rRNA from 1 species
ACAGCAGCAGCCACGGUAAUACGAAGGGGGCUAGCGUUGUUCGGAUUUACUGGGCGUAAAGCGCACGUAGGCGGACUUUUAAGUCAGGGGUGAAAUCCCGGGGCUCAACCCCGGAACUGCCUUUGAUACUGGAAGUCUUGAGUAUGGUAGAGGUGAGUGGAAUUCCGAGUGUAGAGGUGAAAUUCGUAGAUAUUCGGAGGAACACCAGUGGCGAAGGCGGCUCACUGGACCAUUACUGACGCUGAGGUGCGAAAGCGUGGGGAGCAAACAGGAUUAGAUACCCCCGUAGUCCCUGUCUCUUAUAC